GGGAAAGCAAAAUCAAAUCAAAACCCUAGCCUCCCCAAUAUUCUUCUUCUUCCUCCUCUCUUGGUAGCCGCCUACCCCCUCCUUCUUUUGUCUCCGGCGACCCGCCACCAAUCGGCACGGUCAAAUCCCAUCCCACGCCCAAAUUUCUUUCUUCUUUCUUCUUUCUUCUUCUUCUUCAAUCGCUUCUUCUUUCUUCGUCUUUUCUAUUGCUUCUCACGCUAUUGAUGGCACUACUAGGUUCUUCAUGAGCACCAAUUUAUCACUACUGAUUAUGUUAAAUUUUAGCCCUGACAAUGAUGAACUCCCUAGUGAGAAUAUCAAACGAGUUGGAAUAUACAACUCCAUGAUAUCCAAUGGUCUUUCACGACCCCAAAGAAGUCGACAAUUAGGAAUGCAACUAAUUGAUGGAUGAGCUUCUUCGUUGGGGUUGGUGUGUGGGGAACAUGUUUAAUUCUGUAAUUUUGUAAUUUGUGUUUGAGAAUACUAAUAUAUUUUAAAUUAAUAUAUUAGCUUCCUUGUUCAUGUUUAA